UAGGGAAUCUUCCACAAUGGACGCAAGUCUGAUGGAGCAACGCCGCGUGAGUGAAGAAGGUUUUCGGAUCGUAAAGCUCUGUUGUUGGUGAAGAAGGAUAGAGGCAGUAACUGGUCUUUAUUUGACGGUAAUCAACCAGAAAGUCACGGCUAACUACGUGCCAGCAGCCGCGGUAAUACGUAGGUGGCAAGCGUUGUCCGGUUUUAUUGGGCGUAAAGCGAGCGCAGGCGGAAUGAUAAGUCUGAUGUGAAAGCCAACGGCUCAACCGUGGAACUGCAUCGGAAACUGACAGUCUUGAGUGCAGAAGAGGAGAGUGGAAUUACAUGUGUAGGGGUGGAAUGCGUAGAUAUAUGGAAGAAGACAAGUGGCGAAGGCGGCUCUCUGGUCUGCAACUGACGCUGAGGCUCGAAAGAAUGGGUAGCGAACAGG
rnacentral:rRNA from 1 species